GAUGAAGAACGUAGCAAAAUGCGAUAAGUAGUGUGAAUUGCAGAAUUCAGUGAAUCAUCGAAUCUUUGAACGCACAUUGCGCCCCUUGGUAUUCCAUGGGGCAUGCCUGUUCGAGCGUCAUUGCUGCCCUCAAGCACGGCUUGUGUGUUGGGCCUCCGUCCUCCUCCCGGGGGACGGGCCCGAAAGGCAGCGGCGGCACCGCGUCCGGUCCUCGAGCGUAUGGGGCUUCGUCACCCGCUCUUGUAGGCCCGGCCGGCGCUUGCCGACACAUCAAUCUUUUUUCCAGGUUGACCUCGGAUCAGGUAGGGAUACCCGCUGAACUUAAGCAUAUCAAUAAGCGGAGGA
rnacentral:misc_RNA from 1 species